UUCAAUUAACCUAAAUUGACCUCUUUUGUUAAUUUGUCACUUUAUUUAUGACAAUGUUUAUUUGCACAAGCAAAUGCACUCUUAUCAUUGCAAGUCCGAAAGGAAAAGGUUUACACAAUUUUCCUAUAUAAACGGGCACAAACAUUUGGGAAAUACAGAAUUCACAUUCCCUUCGAGGUGUAAUCAAAAAACUCAACUCAAGCAAUGCGUUGCUUUGUCAUUUUCCUCGCCUUCAUUGUGGCCAUUGUCGCCUCAGUGUCAGCUGUUGAUGAUCCCAGCUUCAGGCCUUGUGGUAGAAUUCGCGAUUUCGUGUGUGGAAAAUAUCCCGAUGGGACAAUGGAAACCUUUGAGAAUCAAUGUGAGAUGGGAAUAAAAGCCUGUCAAAAGGGUGUUGAAAUUGACAAACUUUACCGCGGUGAAUGUGGACAUCCAUCGGAACACCAAAAUUAAAUGUUGAACUAUGUGAAAAAUUUUGGAAAAUGGAAUAAGGAAUAUUCGUUGAAGAGACACUAAAUUAAGAAAGGAUGAUUUAAAGGAGAUUUCGGAGUAACGAAUAAUAUCAUAUAUUGCAACCGAUCAAUGUGGAUUGAUUCAUAUACAUUUAUAUGCUCAAUACUUUCAAUUUAAAAUAUAUUAAAAAAAUAAUAAAAAAAAAAUAUUUAAAACUGA